rnacentral:lncRNA from 1 species
AUUGCUUCAUGCUAGGAAUAGGAACGAACGAGAUGAUUUAUAUAAUUGAUGAGACUUAAAGAGCCUUUCUCAGCUCCUCAAGCCUCUAGAGCUGCACACAUUUAAUUUUAAAACCUAAGGCCAUCCUCAAUGGGGUUUUCAUGACCCAAUUUCUAAUACAUCAAUAUUUUGGAAACAGUGCACAAGAGUUUCAUGGGGAUGAAACUCUCUCUACUCCCAUGAAACUCUUAUCAUCUCUCUCUUCAUUAAUAUAGUGCCAAAUCAGCGUAUUUAAUGUGCAUGAAACUCUAAUGAAACACCCAUUGAGACUGGCCUAAGAUGCGCGUGACUUGGAGCAUUGACAAAUGCUGUAGGAGGGUAUUAUUAAAAUAAAAAAAUAAUGAAAAGAAAAGUGAUGUAUGUUGAGAGUGGGAUUUGAACCCUCGAGACCCUUUGACCAACUCGGCAAUCUUCCGGAGUUGAACUGAAAUUCUAUUUAGUACUGUUUGGAUGCCCUGUAGUUCACUACUGGAAUGGCGCUGUUUGGUUGCCCUGUAGUUUACUAAAAGAAUCGCGGAUGAUAAUUUUAGCUCUGGCUUUCAAGCAUGGUUUUGACUAGUCUCAAUAGAGUUUUAUCAGAAUUUUAUAGAUAUUAAUUAUGCUAAUGUGUCAUCUUAUUAAUGAAGAGAGAUGUUAAG